AACAUUUUUUUAAUUUAAAAAAUAAAAUAUAUAUUUACUGAUUGACCCAGUAAAAUAGAGCAAAAAGUAAACGCUUGUUUACAUGAUAUGUGGUUUUAUAUGUUUUUUAGGGCCAGCAGGAUGCACUAGAGGUAGUUUGUGCGAAAAUGCGAUAGCUUUUAGUCUCCAGCAAUGUUUCCUGUACCUGUAGCUCUUAGUCUCAGUCUCACUGUGCGAUUGGUAGCAACUCCGUUCGCAGUGAGCAAGCCCCGUCCAGAUCAUAUGAAGACCAGCAGAGCCCGGGUAAGAUCGGCGUGCUCUCCAGAACUCCGAGCAUGGGAUUAUGGAAAUUUCCGUAGGAAAGAGCUUCUUCAUGCCGUUCCCAGUUGAGGGACAUUCUUGAUUUUCAGUUGCUUGCUACGGAUCUUCCUGGCACACCUUCAUUUUUCUACCGACAGGGUUUACACUAGUUGGCCUUUAAUUUUAUAAUUAGGAAGGGGAGGUUUAAACGCCUCCCCCGAUUAGGAAUGUUAAGUAAUUGUCUUUCUAGAACUGCAGUAAAAAAUAUCAGCGAUUUGCAGAGUUGCAGUGUGGGCGUUGGCAGGAAGCUGGGUCGCUGCCGGGACUCCUGGGUGUGCGGUUCCGAAGUGCAUGUCAGGAUGACUAAUAGUUGGACCGCCCUGGCCGUGCGGCUAAAUAAAAGCUGCAUCGAACAUUCUCGGCUACCCGUGAGACUCGACCACUCUGUCAUGCGAAGACUAUGCCCAAGAGCUCAAUUAUGUUCAAAUAAGGCUGCACGGAGGGCUGUCAGAAGGGGAGUCGGCUGGAAACCAAGGGUAUUUAUAGAAGAGAAGGAGAUUUCACUGUGCUUCACGAAUUUGUUGCAACCCAGCUCAAAAGUCUGUUCCUGUUUGAAGCAGCCGUGUGCUUUUGGGCAAUUUGCUGUGUGCCACCGGACCUCCAUUUUCUUAUUGCUGAAAUAUUUGGGGGCAGGUCACGUGCGCCUGGCAUUUUGCAGGCGCUACGGUUCUGUGGUCUGUGAGUGUAGGGUGGAUGUCAAAUUACACAUUGACCAUUUUCAGAAAGCUCGGCUACAGUAGAAACUAUUGUGGAGAAAAUGGCUCUGCCCUCGGAUGGAAAAUGGAGCGUUCUCAAAUCGCCCUUUGCCCCUUUGAUUACAGUUAAGUUAUUCAGGCAUUUGGGGCCUCAUGGCAUACCAGCUAUUUAUUUAUUUAUUUAUUUAUUUAUUUACUCCUCUAUUUAAAAACCUCUUGGAAAGGCGCCCUGGGAGCCCUGGCGGGCCCGAGGUGUGUUGAGUUCUCCCCUUCUGCACGCUCCAGCUGACCUGGGGGCUCGAGGGGCAGUGGGUGAUCGGAGUCGACUUGUUUACCUUCCUAUUUUAAUUGCUGUGGAGAACGAACAGAGCUUUUCUAUGCGGUUCCUUUCUUAGGAUUUAACCUCCUGCUACUCUGAACUAUUUUUUUUCCCCACCACAGUCCUCAAACUGAAUUACUCCCCUGCUCCAGGUGGCUGAUGAUGGUGAUUAUUACUUCUUACACCGUACCCGGGAGCUGGGUAGGAAGGACGAGGGACAAGCUUGGGCUUUGUGGGGCGUUUCCAUGAUCAAUAACGUAGUUCCUCUUGGAAUUCUCGCCGUGCUACAGGAACCGUUACGUCGAACACCUUCCCGUCAGCAGCCGUGAACGGGCUGACCCACGGCAGAACGGAAGUGACCAGCAGCUCCCGUGAGCUGAAUUCACCGUGUUUUUGACAAAUGACCGGGAAGCGACAAGUCCCAAAUGUUUCCUCAGUUUCCAGGAGCGGCUGUAAGUCCUUAGACUGGUCCCGUUGUCCUCAGUCAGGGGGCUGUGCCUCAGUUACCAUUUUGCGGAUGUCUCCUCACUUCUUACACUCAUUUCACUUCUUACACUCCUCCUGCCUCCGUGGAUCAGGGGCGUGGAAAACCCUGUCCAGCACCAGGUAUCAGCAUCCUGCUGGAAGCCGCUUUCAUCUGGCACAUGCUCUGGCCAGUCAACAUUCCUGUGCCCACCUUCAGACACACAUGUCCGUUUGUCUUCUUUCUUCUUUUAUUUCAGUUAAACUCUGAUGUUUGCUCAUUCACCUGUUUUUUAUUUUCACCCCCUUGCGCUACGCCUUCAUUACUUUUCGUGAAAAUAAAUGACCAUAUGUUACCAGAGGUUUGGGGGGUUUUUUCCCCUGCAUUGUUUUUUGUGUUUUGUUGUUGUUGUUUGUGUUGUCUUGGCGCUGGUGUUGCUAUUUGUUGAUGUGGUUUGUAAAAUAGUCUUACCGGCUGCUCUCUCUUGGCAAACGAGAAGGCCAGUGGAUUCUGACGCCAGCGACCGCUCCGGGUGCGACGCUGACCUGGGACAAUGGCUGCCCUUGGCGCCUCUGACCUAACCACCGUGUGGGGCGGCUGUGAGUGUCCUCGCUGUGCAGACUGGCCCUGAGGCGCAGUCAGGUGACCCCCACGGCCAGGGGAGGCGGGGCCGGAGACUAGCCAGCCCGUCUCGCCCCACAGCACGCUGGGUUCUGUUUAGCCGUCUUAUGAAUGUCAGGAAUUAGACUCCAUAGCUGAGCAGGUGCUCCUGUGUGAAGUGCGUGGGCUCCCGGCCAGACCCAUGUUGACCUGCUCAGCCUACCCGUAGUUGGAGUCCACACGAGUCAGGGCCAGGGCGUCGGAGGGCAACGCCCAUGUUUCAUUGACUCAGUCAGUCAUUCGUUCUCUCAACAGUCAGUGAGUGUCGGCGAGGGGCUGGGAACCCCCUAGGGGCCCAGACAUUGCAGAGAAUCCCAAGACCGAGUCCGGACCCUUCCCUACAAGCCUUAGGGCAUAAGCUGACCCCCUCCGCCAGCAUCCCAGGUCACGCCAGUCCACGGGUCUCCUUCUCUGAGCUUCUGUGCUUUGCUUUUACUUACCUUACUUGAUAGUCAAUGCAAGACUCCUUUGUGCUUUUCUUUGUCCGUUGUAAUUAAUUGAUGGUCAGGAAGGUAGCCUUUCAAAGCAGCCCUUGAGGAUCUGUGGUCCCUGCACACCAGUCACAUCACUGCGCAUCAGUUUGGCACUCCAUAAACCCUUCCAGCCUGGCAGGGACGACUGUGCCCGUGCGUGCGAGUGCCCGCGGCCCCUUCGCGGGCGCCCUCCAAGCCCCGGUGACUCCGGUCGGAUCAGAUCUGAUAACAAGUCCCAGGAGGACACCCCCCGGCCGCACAGUGUGCCCUGCGGUCAGGAGUCACACACACGGGGAGAUCUGGCCCACGCAUGCCCUGAUUUCUGGGCCCACGUGGCAGAUUCCACCACCAAACACCGACGAAGGCCUGAGCAAACACAGACCUGGCGUUUGUGCUCAUUUCUGCCGUGACGGGCUUGGGUCGUAUUCAGAGAACAUCUUGCCCAUCCUUCCCGAGGUCUUGGGAACGGACGACCUCGUCCUGGGAGAGCCACUUGGGAGUCCCUGCCCGGCCGUGUCGCCUGCUCUCCUGACCCUCCGUCACCUGCCUCUUCUCUGGGCUUCUUCGCUUUCUCCCUCACUCCCCAAGUUUCAGAAGAUGAUGCUGUUGAAGAUCAGUGGAAAAUGGCCAGGGAAACCCGCAACGCCAACCACACCGUCCCUGGUCACACACAAAGGCAACAUCAUCUACCUACUCGGGCUCCUGGUUCUCAGCUUUUCAUGAAUUGAAAGGACUUACCCCUCCUACCAAUGCACAGAAUGCUCCGAAUGCUCCGGAAAGAGCCGCCAGAGCCGCCAGCCUCUGAGGACAGCCGCCAUGGGGGAAAGGAAACUGAAACUCUGUAAGCGGACAAGAAUUUUGCACCCUCCUGGAGUUGUCCGGUGCGUCCAGAGGCCUCAGGGAUGCAGGAGCGCCUUGAGCAGGUGAAAACCAGCUCAUGGGGACACUGUGGUCCCUGCCGGGUGUCUGAGCCUUCACCUGUCGGCAGCAGGUACCUGUGCGUGGACAUCGCCACUGCAGCUAGUCGCCCUAGCCAACGACCGGCAGGCUGAGGGCUGAGGCCUCGGGCACCAGGGCGGCCGUCUGCCCCCACCUCCUCCACGGGGUGCGCCCGCCGCCAAGGUCAUGCUCACCUGCGCUCAGCGGCCAGCCCCGGUUUCUGCCAUCUGCGAGCUCUUUCUUCAUGAAGAGGACCCGUGUCACCAGGGGCCACGCCCGCUAGAUGAGGACACGUCCAGGCACUGGGUGAGCUCACAGGGCAGCUCGGGCGCACACAGUCCAGGGUCCACACACGACACCGUGGUCCCAGGUCGGGUGCAAGGCGGCCUCAGACCAGAAGCCGCAGCACAAACGCAGGGAUCAGGGUCGGCGAGCCUGCGUCCCCAGCAGUGCCUGUCCCUGCGAAGUGGACAAGAGGGCAGGGCGCCUGGGGGCUCAGUCGGUUGAGCGUCUGACUUCGGCUCAGGUCAUGAUCUCACGGUUCGUCAGU